GCAUAUCAAUAAGCGGAGGAAAAGAAAACAACCGUGAUUUCCAUAGUAAGGACGACUGAAGUGGAAAUAGUUCACCGUGCGAAUCUGCGCCUCGGCGCCGAAUUGUGGUCUGGAGACAGUUACGCUACGAUCCGAGCCAAGUCCCUUGGAACAGGGCAGCAGAGAGGGUGAGACUCCCGUUCGCUUGGGUCACAAAGUGGCUGUCAACGAGUCGAGUUGUUUGGGAAU
rnacentral:rRNA from 1 species